UACGUAGGGUGCGAGCGUUAAUCGGAAUUACUGGGCGUAAAGGGUGCGUAGGCGGUUUGAUAAGUCUGAUGUGAAAUCCCCGGGCUCAACCUGGGAACGGCAUUGGAGACUGUCAAGCUAGAGUGCGUCAGAGGGGGGUAGAAUUCCACGUGUAGCAGUGAAAUGCGUAGAGAUGUGGAGGAAUACCGGUGGCGAAAGCGCUCUGCUAGGCCGCAACUGACACUCAUGGACGAAAGCUAGGGGAGCGAAUGGG
rnacentral:rRNA from 1 species